rnacentral:rRNA from 1 species
CAGUGAAACUACCGCGGAGAUACGGAAUUCUCCGUUGAAGGGUGUAGGCGCAGAUUGAGGCAGGCAAAUCCACCUUGAGAGCCGAACCUGAUAGUAUGGAGUCUUCUUCGGAAGAGUCCAAUAGCGUAGGUAAUCAUACUUCCUAGAAAAUCCGCUAAACUUAAUCCAUGCGGCACCUGUACCGCAAACGGACACACGUGGUCGGGUAGAACAUACUAAGGCGUUGAGAGAUUCUUGGUUAAG